CCUACGGGAGGCAGCAGUGGGGAAUAUUGCGCAAUGGGCGAAAGCCUGACGCAGCGACGCCGCGUGAGGGAUGAAGGUCUUCGGAUCGUAAACCUCUGUCAGCAGGGAAGAACGGUCACUGUGCUAAUCAGCAGUGAAUUGACGGUACCUGCAAAGGAAGCACCGGCUCACUCCGUGCCAGCAGCCGCGGUAAUACGGAGGGUGCGAGCGUUAAUCGGAAUUACUGGGCGUAAAGCGCUCGUAGGCGGUAUGUCAAGUCAAGGGUGAAAUCCCCGCGCUCAACGUGGGAACUGCCUCUGAGACUGGCAGACUGGAGUGUGGGAGAGGAUAGUGGAAUUCCAGGUGUAGGAGUGAAAUCCGUAGAUAUCUGGAGGAACAUCAGUGGCGAAGGCGACUAUCUGGCACAUAACUGACGCUGAGGAGCGAAAGCGUGGGUAGCAAACAGGAUUAGAUACCCGUGUAGUC
rnacentral:rRNA from 1 species